AGAGUUUGAUCCUGGCUCAGGACGAACGCUGGCGGCGUGCUUAACACAUGCAAGUCGAACGGAAAGCGCUUUUCGGAGUGACUCGAGUGGCGAACGGGUGAGUAACACGUGGGUGAUCUGCCCUGCACUUUGGGAUAAGCCUGGGAAACUGGGUCUAAUACCGGAUAGGACUACGAAUCGCAUGGUUUGUGGUGGAAAGCUUUUGCGGUGUGGGAUGGGCCCGCGGCCUAUCAGCUUGUUGGUGGGGUGAUGGCCUACCAAGGCGACGACGGGUAGCCGGCCUGAGAGGGUGUCCGGCCACACUGGGACUGAGAUACGGCCCAGACUCCUACGGGAGGCAGCAGUGGGGAAUAUUGCACAAUGGGCGCAAGCCUGAUGCAGCGACGCCGCGUGAGGGAUGACGGCCUUCGGGUUGUAAACCUCUUUCAACAGGGACGAAGCGUAAGUGACGGUACCUGUAGAAGAAGCACCGGCCAACUACGUGCCAGCAGCCGCGGUA
rnacentral:rRNA from 1 species